ACGAGCGCACCCCUGGGUCUAGUUACAGUGUCUAAAGCGACAGCCUGCGACAGUGGGACGAAGGUGGGGAUGACGUCAGGUCAGAUGGCCUUUACAUCUAGGGCUACACACACGCUACAAUGGCGCGCACAAUGGUAAGCAAGACCGCGAGGUGGAGCAAAUCCUGAAAGCGCGUCUUACUUCAAAUUGCACGCUGCAACUCUCCUGCAUGAAACUGGAAUUGCUAGAAAACGCAAGUCAGCACACUGCGUUAAAUACGUUC
rnacentral:rRNA from 1 species